rnacentral:tRNA from 1 species
GGAUUGUGGCUCAGUAGUAGAGUGUUCGCCUAGCACGUGUGAGGCACUGGGUUCGAUCCUCGGCACCA